rnacentral:tmRNA from 1 species
GGGGGCGUUACGGAUUCGACAGGCGGUACGAACAUUUGAAUAGCGAGUAGUUAGGUAGGACUUAAUCCACCACAGUUAAAUAUAACUGCUAAAAACGAAACUUUAAUGGCUGCCUAAUUUAAUUUAGGUGUGUCAUCUAACCCCACAUGAUUGGCUAGGCAUGAUUGUGGUUCCAACUCCUAGAGUAGGUUGAAGUGCUGAUAAUAGCUUAUAACCGAAAUCACAUAUCUGCGUUAGACAGACUUCUUGCUUGUUGUCAGUCGUUUAACUAAGGCAUACAACAUCCACACUCGUAGAAUUUUGGGUGCAAGGCCGUUUGGACAGGGGUUCGACUCCCCUCGCCUCCAUAA